GCCACGGUGGUCUAGCGGUUAGAACGCUGGUCGUGUAAUCCUGGGGUCGCGGGUUCGAUUCCCGGCGGUGCCA
rfam:Zootermopsis nevadensis contig26183, whole genome shotgun sequence.